GAUGAACGCUGGCGGCGUGCCUAAUACAUGCAAGUCGAACGCACAGCGAAAGGUGCUUGCACCUUUCAAGUGAGUGGCGAACGGGUGAGUAACACGUGGAUAACCUACCUCAAGGUUGGGGAUAACAUUUGGAAACAGAUGCUAAUACCGAAUAAAACUUAGUAUCGCAUGAUACCAGGUUAAAAGGCGCUACGGCGUCACCUAGAGAUGGAUCCGCGGUGCAUUAGUUAGUUGGUGGGUAAAGGCUUACCAGACAAUGAUGCAUAGCCGAGUUGAGAGACUGAUCGGCCACAUUGGGACUGAGACACGGGCCCAAACUCCUACGGGAGCUGCAGUAGGGAAUCUUCCACAAUGGGCGAAAGCCUGAUGGAGCAACGCCGCGUGUGUGAUGAAAGGGCUUUCGGGGUCGUAAAGCACUGUUGUAUGGAAGAACAGCUAGAGUAGGGAAUGAC
rnacentral:rRNA from 1 species